AGCAACUGAGACGGGACACAGAGACUCCUGAGGCCAGGCAGGCACGCCUACAGCAAAUGGCUGCUUCCACCCAAACCAGCAGAGCUUCAGAUACUCCUGAGGCCAGACAGGCACGCCUACAGCAAAUGGCUGCUUCAACUCAAACCAGCAGAGCCUCGGAGACUCCUGAGGCCAGACAGGCACGCUUGGAACAAGACUGACAGGCAUAGGUAUUCACAACACAUAGAUGUGAA